rnacentral:rRNA from 1 species
AUUGAACGCUGGCGGCAGGCCUAACACAUGCAAGUCGAACGGUAACAGGAAGAAGCUAGCUUCUUUGCUGACGAGUGGCGGACGGGUGAGUAAUGUCUGGGAAACUGCCUGAUGGAGGGGGAUAACUACUGGAAACGGUAGCUAAUACCGCAUAACGUCGCAAGACCAAAGAGGGGGACCUUCGGGCCUCUUGCCAUCGGAUGUGCCCAGAUGGGAUUAGCUAGUAGGUGGGGUAACGGCUCACCUAGGCGACGAUCCCUAGCUGGUCUGAGAGGAUGACCAGCCACACUGGAACUGAGACACGGUCCAGACUCCUACGGGAGGCAGCAGUGGGGAAUAUUGCACAAUGGGCGCAAGCCUGAUGCAGCCAUGCCGCGUGUAUGAAGAAGGCCUUCGGGUUGUAAAGUACUUUCAGCGGGGAGGAAGGGAGUAAAGUUAAUACCUUUGCUCAUUGACGGUACCCGCAGAAGAAGCACCGGCUAACUCCGUG